GACGAACGCUGGCGGCGUGUUUAACACAUGCAAGUCGAACGGAAAGGCCUCUUUCGGGGGGUACUCGAGUGGCGAACGGGUGAGUAACACGUGAGUAACCUGCCCUUGACUUUGGGAUAACUUCAGGAAACUGGGGCUAAUACCGGAUAGGAGCUCCUGCUGCAUGGUGGGGGUUGGAAAGUUUCGGCGGUUGGGGAUGGACUCGCGGCUUAUCAGCUUGUUGGUGGGGUAGUGGCUUACCAAGGCUUUGACGGGUAGCCGGCCUGAGAGGGUGGCCGGCCACAUUGGGACUGAGAUACGGCCCAGACUCCUACGGGAGGCAGCAGUGGGGAAUAUUGCACAAUGGGUGGAAGCCUGAUGCAGCAACGCCGUGUGCGGGAUGACGGCCUUCGGGUUGUAAACCGCUUUCGCUCAUGACGAAGCUUUGUGUGACGGUAGUGGGUAAAGAAGCACCGGCUAACUACGUG
rnacentral:rRNA from 1 species